AAUAGAUACCCGGGUAGUCCACGCCCUAAACGAUGAUUACUCGUCAUUGGCGAUACACAGUCAGUGACCAAGCGAAAGCGUUAAGUAAUCCACCUGGGAAGUACGACCGCAAGGUUGAAACUCAAAGGAAUUGACGGGGGUCCGCACAAGCGGUGAAGCAUGUGGUUUAAUUCGAUGAUACGCGAGGAACCUUACCUGGGCUAGAAUGUGAGUGACCGGUGGUGAAAGCCACUUUUCCGCAAGGACACGAAACAAGGUGCUGCAUGGCUGUCGUCAGCUCGUGCCGUGAGGUGUUGGGUUAAGUCCCGCAACGAGCGCAACCCCCAUCUUCAGUUGCCAUCAUUAAGUUGGGCACUCUGGGGAAACUGCCGCCGUAAGGCGCGAGGAAGGAGGGGACGAUGUCAAGUCAUCAUGGCCUUUAUGCCCAGGGCUACACACGUGCUACAAUGGUAAGGACAAAGGGCAGCUACCUGGCGACAGGAUGCGAAUCUCAAAAACCUUAUCUCAGUUCGGAUUGCAGG
rnacentral:rRNA from 1 species